AUGACUAAAAAGGUGGCAGUAGUAGGUGUGUAUAUGCUCCUAUUAGCGGUCCUCUUCUUUUAUGGUACUGAAGCUAAGUGUAGUCAACACUACUACACACUACCUGGUCCUUGUGAUGGUAUAACAUGUAUGAACUUUUGCAUACCACUGAAGUAUCAAAAUGGGACAUGCGGUUUUACUGGAAUACGUCCUGGUGAUGUAGUUUGCUAUUGCUAUAAUUGUGGGGAAGAGACUUCUGUUGAUCAACUAGCGUUACCGCUAUUAGGGGACCCAAGUAGAGCAUACACAUGCAAAAAAAAAAAUCAUUUUUGA
rnacentral:rRNA from 1 species